CACAGGUAGUACAACCAAUAUCAGCUAGAAACUCAAAAAUUAAAGUGCCGGCAGUAGAGUCAUUGGCGCCGCGGGCGAGUAAACAAAAAUGCGGCAUUCCACAAGUAGUACAACCAAUAUCAGUCAGAAACUCAAAAAUUAAAUUUCCUAGUAGUAACGCAAUUAAACGUCACUCGUGCUGUAACUCAAAGGAGCUUAAUUUAGAUUUCUCGUGCGGCGAUGUAAAAAAUCGAAGUAUGAACUUUAACAACAGUGGUAGAUAUGAUAUCAAUGGAAUAAAACACGAAAAAAUGUCCAUCAAGAAAUCUAAAAUUAUAAAAAAGAAACAAAUCAUAAAUUUGUACACAGACAGCAUGAACAAGGUAAAAAAUUCGGCACCUUCUGUUAGGAAAUCGUCGUCUUUUAUUAAUCGUCAGGCGAAACAAAGGGAAAUAGACCGAACCAACUACAUCUUAUUACAAAAAUUGUUACGCGUGAAAGCAUCCGUUAAGACUUUUCGCUAAUUUAAAAGUCUUCUGCGACGGAUUGACAUCUAGCACCUGGGAACUGACAGCUUAUCGUCUAUGGCAAUCGGCGGCUAGUGAGUCUAGCUACAAUAUAC